GACGAACGCUGGCGGCGUGCUUAACACAUGCAAGUCGAACGGUAAGGCCCCAGCUUGCUGGGGUACACGAGUGGCGAACGGGUGAGUAACACGUGGGUGACCUGCCCCGCACUUCGGGAUAAGCCUGGGAAACUGGGUCUAAUACCGGAUAGGACCGCACCGUGAGGGGGGGGUGGAAAGUUUUUCGGUGUGGGAUGGGCCCGCGGCCUAUCAGCUUGUUGGUGGGGUAAUGGCCUACCAAGGCGGCGACGGGUAGCCGGCCUGAGAGGGUGGACGGCCACAUUGGGACUGAGACACGGCCCAGACUCCUACGGGAGGCAGCAGUGGGGAAUAUUGCACAAUGGGCGGAAGCCUGAUGCAGCGACGCCGCGUGGGGGAUGACGGCCUUCGGGUUGUAAACUCCUUUCACCAUCGACGAAGGUUUUCUGACGGUAGAUGGAGAAGAAGCACCGGCUAACUACGUG
rnacentral:rRNA from 1 species